rnacentral:rRNA from 1 species
AGGCGANAAAGCGUGGGGAGCAAACAGGAUUAGAUNCCCUGGUAGUCCACGCCGUAANCGAUGAGUGCUAAGUGUUAGAGGGUUUCCGCCCUUUAGUGCUGCAGCUAACGCAUUAAGCACUCCGCCUGGGGAGUACGGUCGCAAGACUGAAACUCAAAGGAAUUGACGGGGGCCCGCACAAGCGGUGGAGCAUGUGGUUUAAUUCGAAGCAACGCGAAGAACCUUACCAGGUCUUGACAUCCUCUGACAACUCUAGANAUAGAGCGUUCCCCUUCGGGGGACAGAGUGACAGGUGGUGCAUGGUUGUCGUCAGCUCGUGUCGUGAGAUGUUGGGUUAAGUCCCGCAACGAGCGCAACCCUUGAUCUUAGUUGCCAGCAUUUAGUUGGGCACUCUAAGGUGACUGCCGGUGACAAACCGGAGGAAGGUGGGGAUGACGUCAAAUCAUCAUGCCCCUUAUGACCUGGGCUACACACGUGCUACAAUGGAUGGUACAAAGGGCUGCAAGACCGCGAGGUCAAGCCAAUCCCAUAAAACCAUUGCUACAGUUCGGAUUGUAGGCUGCAACUCGCUCUACAUGAAGCUGGAAUCGGGUAGUAAUCCGCGGAACAGCAUUGC